AACGAACGCUGGCGGCAUGCCUAACACAUGCAAGUCGAACGAGACCUUCGGGUCUAGUGGCGCACGGGUGCGUAACGCGUGGGAACCUGCCCUUAGGGUCGGAAUAACUCCCCGAAAGGGGUGCUAAUACCGGAUAAUGUCUGCGGACCAAAGAUUUAUCGCCUUUGGAUGGGCCGGCGUUGGAUUAGCUAGUUGGUAGGGUAAAAGCCUGCCAAGGCGACGAUCCAGAGCUGGUCUGAGAGGAGGAUCAGCCACACUGGGACUGAGACACGGCCCAGACGCCUACGGGAGGAAGCAGUGGGGAAUAAUGGACAAUGGGCGAAAGACUGAUCCAGCAAUGCCGCGUGAGUGAUGCAGGCCUUAGGGUUGUAAAGCUCUUUUGCCCGGGAGGAUAAUGACAGUACCGGGAGAAUAAGCGCCGGCUAACUCCGUG
rnacentral:rRNA from 1 species